UUUUACACAGGGGCUCUGGUAAAUGGUUUUUAACAUUUUUCCUGCAGUAACCCUCUUUGCGUCUUCAUAUCUGCGUAAUUCUGUUGGAGGUAAAAGCACAUUAACAACAAAGUAAUGCUAAAUACCUUUCUUUAAAUGUCACGGCCAUUAAAUCUACCUCAUUUGGCUUUUAUUGCCAAUCCUCAAUAUGGUUCUAAGCCAAGACCGUUUUAUUGCAUUUCGCAGUUAUAAGUGAGGCAGUGUGCUCCUAAAGCCCCUUUUAGCAAUACAAUUGUUGUACUAUUUUUUUUAUGUGAUCACAUAUUUACAUAGAAUAAGUAAAUCUGAUUAGUUAUGGAAGUCUGAGCUCAGAGCUGGGAAUGACAGCCUACACACUUAGCAAUACAAGCCAAAAAACAAUUUAUUUAUCUCGAUUUUAUUCAUUAGAACAAUAACAACAAAAGAACAAGUUCACAAACACACUAUGUGUGCCAGUGGUUCAUGGAGAUAUAAACUAUCAGAAGUUCUUAUAUCAAAUGAGUUUAUGUCAACCAUCUUCACUAAAUUAUAUAUGAGCUGCAGCCUAUUAAACCAAGGCAAUAUUGUUGAUUUUUUGACUAGAAACCUGCUAAAACUAAUGUCCGAGUACAAUAAAUAUGCUGAAGUGAGUCUUUUUAGGCCACAGAACAUGUUUCGGGGAUUUUAUAUGUUUUAUAUUCGGGGACACCUGAAUGAAAGUUUGUUUUUUUCUAUAAUUUCUCCUUGUUACAUCGUCUUUCUUGCAUGCUACAUCAUCAUAUGUAUGCUUCUUUAUUUAUGUAUUUACUAAUGAAUAAUCUUAUUUUUAAUCAUCUAUUAGAGUUUCCGCUUGCCCCCCCGACAAAAGCUAUGUUACGUUUACAGCUUGUUUGAACCUCUAACAGGAAGACACAUAUUCUUGUGAUUCAUUGUAGGAAGCAUGUGAGAAGCAUAAAUUGAUUAAAUUGGUCACAGAGGUUAACAGUACUUCAAAGUGGGGCAAAGAUCAAAGCGGUCUUCUAUUGUCUUUUAAAAUAAGUGAAUUAAAAAAGGCCAUGGCUGUUUGUGGUUAAUCUCCUGGGAUGUUAAAAUGGGAUGUUUAUUCACAGAGAGGACAGUUAUGAUUUAAACAUGAUUACAAAGCUUGAUCUCUUUUUUUACAUAUGCAAACAAAAAAAUCUUGUGAAGAAUAGAGUAAGACCAAAAUACUCCCCAGGUGCAGCUUGUUGCAAAAAAUUACACACAUGAGACCAUUAAAGCUACCUCAUUUAAUUAUUGGACACAAAGUCCAAUAAUUAUCAGCAAAUAUUUCAGCAUGAUAGCACAUGUGUUACAAGGCAAAUGUGACAAUGAAGUGGAUAUCAACUUGUGAGCCAAGCUUGAACAAAACAAUAGCUCAGGAUUUGGCCUGCAAGUUGAUAUCCAGCAUGUCAGGGUGACUUGCAGAAACUCUAUGCUAAAAAUCAUCUCUUCAAAUUUACUUUGCAUGACCAAAUAAAUGCAUUUAAAAAUGAAAUGUCUGUUCUUUAGUAUACUAUAGAAACAUGUUUACACAGUAAUGUGUUGAAAUAUGUUUAAAACACGAGAGAUAUUUGUGUCUUGACCCAAACAUAAAAAUCUGCAGAAGCAAAAUUGGAAGCUGGAUGGGAGCCAAGUACAAAGCACCCAAGAAAAAUUGUCUGAGGUUUAACAAAAAUUGACAGAUGGAAGAUCACCGUUGAGCAAGUCAGUGACCCUAAAAUAGUUACAAAGAAAGGUUUAGAGCAGUAGUUUAAGGAAAGUUUGACUGUUAAAUUCCAAUAAAUGUGAAAAAAUUACAGUAAUGAAAAUUUAUUUUUUAGCAAGCCAACGUAAGAGCAUUACAUUAACCCUGUGCAUGUUAAACAGGAAGAGUUGUCUACUCCUUAUUAGCUCAUUGGCUCCACCUAGAGGUUUGGAAGUAAAGGUACAGCAAUGCAAUGCAUUUAAUUAAGAGACCCAAAUUAAAUUGAAAAUCUUCUUAAAAGUAAAAUAAAAAUUGCAAGUUUCUUAUAUGUAAAAAGACAAAUUGGCAGAUUUCAAAAUAAAGAACUUUUGUUUGUUUUUUAACUCCUUUAAAAUUGAGUUUUCUUUUCUGACAGAAUAACAUCCACAAAAGUGACUGAUCUUCAAGUAUCUUUCUUUUUUUUUUUUUAGGAGAAAAACACCAAGGUGCUUAAUUAUUCUCACAAAUCAGAUUCAAAGAUGUUUGGUAAGGCAGAAGUACUGCACUAAAAACACAAAUUGUAAAAUGUUUUAGCAAAAAGAAUCAAAAUCAGAGUCAGGUUUUAUUUUAUGUUCUUGCAGAGGAACAAAGUUUUUGCCCUUGGAAAAAUACAGAUCAACCGUGUAUUACAUAUGAAAAAAAGCCUUCACAAUGCAUAAAUAUGUUUAUUCAACUCAUUUACACAAAGUUACAAAACCAAUCUGACAAAAUAACCUAAUGACUGUUGAAAAACAAAAAUAUUUCAGCAAAAAAGUAAAUGAUUGCCAGUCAUUUUGUUUCAUUAUUAAGUGCUGCACAAGGAUGCUAAAAAAAUCUUUCACGGCAAAUACAUCAAAAUAAAUAAAUGAUUGCUUACUACUACUAAUCAUAAUUUACUUCCCUAUUGCACAAAAAACUCCUCUUGAUCGAUAUUAAAAAUAAAUUGCUCUGACUUGUUAAGUCGUUGUCAACAUAAAUUCACCAAACGUCAACACUUCCCUGUAAAAGGUUUACAAACUAAUUUAUGUAACGCACACAGCAGCUCUGAGUUACUUUGUCUGAUCUUAAAGAGUCAACACUCACAUCCAUGCCUAUUGGUACUGAUGGUAAAGAUGUGCAAUGAAAGGUAUAUUAAAUUAAAAAACAAUAAUAAUGACAAAAAACAAAUCUAACUUCUAGCAUUAUAGCAGCAGCACCAUCACUGGAGCUGCUAUUGUCACACCUAAAACAUGUUCAUAGAAUAAAUGUAGCAUUUAUUUUACUUUUCAAGUAAACACAUUUUGAUUUCCCGUUUUCCUGGGAUAGAUGAUGGAAAACAGGUAAAUUUUUCCUAUCCCCUUGUCAAAACAGGAAAAAGAGGAGAACAUUGAAUUUGAGAUAGGCACAUGUGUGUUGAAGUUUUUAUGUAAGGUGGAGGGGAUGAUGCAGUGAUGUUGGCCUGUGCCACACAAAUGAAUUGGGUUGACAGUAGAUUGUAGAGCAGGAUAGUGAUCUAAAACACACAGAAAAACCAACAUGGAAAAGCUCCAGUCAGCCAUUAAUCACUUUCUAUGGCUGUCUCAGUCCACAGACCUUAAUCUUAUUUCUCUUCAUUUCACCGAGAAGACGGCAUAAGGACCAAGGACUCUUAUGUAAAGAAGAAUGGUCAAAGAGUUUUGUCUCUGUUUUCUCUGACCUUGUGAAAUGUUACAUGAAGAAAGGAGGUUGUGCAAAUACGAGGCAGUAGGGGCGCCAAUAGGGGAAGCAAUAAUAAUUUUGUAAAAAAAAAAAAAAAAAAAGUUGAUAGAAUGUCAGCAAUUAUACUCAAAUUAAAGCUCGAAUCUCCCCAAAACGUUAAGUAUAUAAUUUUCCCGCAAUAAAUAAUUUAUAGGCUUUUUUCCACAUCUUAAAACAGGGGCGCCAAUAAGGC